rnacentral:rRNA from 1 species
UACGAAGGGGGCGAGCGUUGUUCGGAAUCACUGGGCGUAAAGGGCGCGUAGGCGGCCCUCUUUGUCGCGUGUGAAAGCCCCGGGCUCAACCUGGGAACGGCGCGCGAAACGGGGGGGCUGGAGUUCGGGAGAGGAGAGUGGAAUUCCUGGUGUAGCGGUGAAAUGCGCAGAUAUCAGGAAGAACACCCGUGGCGAAGGCGGCUCUCUGGGACGGUACUGACGCUGAGACGCGAAAGCGUGGGGAGCGAACAGG